GGGUAGAUUGCAGAGCGGCCAAAUGCAACGGACUGUAAAUCCGUCGACAUCGUCUUCGGUGGUUCGAAUCCACCUCUGCCCACCA
rnacentral:tRNA from 1 species